rnacentral:rRNA from 1 species
AUUGAACGCUGGCGGCAUGCCUUACACAUGCAAGUCGAACGGCAGCACGGGAGCAAUCCUGGUGGCGAGUGGCGAACGGGUGAGUAAAGUAUCGGAACGUGCCCAGUCGUGGGGGAUAACGUAGCGAAAGUUACGCUAAUACCGCAUACGAUCUAUGGAUGAAAGCGGGGGAUGGCAAGACCUCGCGGUAUUGGAGCGGCCGAUAUCAGAUUAGGUAGUUGGUGGGGUAAAGGCCCACCAAGCCUACGAUCUGUAGCUGGUCUGAGAGGACGACCAGCCACACUGGGACUGAGACACGGCCCAGACUCCUACGGGAGGCAGCAGUGGGGAAUUUUGGACAAUGGGCGAAAGCCUGAUCCAGCCAUGCCGCGUGCAGGAUGAAGGCCUUCGGGUUGUAAACUGCUUUUGUACGGAACGAAAAGGACUGCCCUAAUACGGUGGUCCCAUGACGGUACCGUAAGAAUAAGCACCGGCUAACUACGUGCCAGCCGCCGCCGUAA